rnacentral:misc_RNA from 1 species
AAGCUUAGUUCUUUGUGAUGCAAAGCCAGUUCUGGGUUGAGGGUAGAUUCUAGGGAGGGGUCUUAGGCCACAUUCUGAUAAGACCCAAGAAGCAGCCAUUAACGACCCAGAAGCUGAAAAUGCAAGAUUCCACCCACAGCCAGUCUAUGGACUACAAAAAGAAGAAAAUGAAAGAACCUAGAAAUUGGAAAGGAGAGGAAGAGAUAACACAAGUAUUUCUCUCCCCCACUUCCAGCUACUGAAUUCUCAACCUGUGCUUUUUGUUGC